rnacentral:tRNA from 1 species
GAUGAAGUGGCUGAAUAGUAGGCAAUAAAUUGUAAAUUUAUUCAUGGUGAUUUAAACCCUUCAUCA